UUGAGAACAACAUUGACUGAGUCUGCACUAGGUGGCUUUGGCAAAGGAGGUGAUUCCUGUUUCUCAUGUCUCUUGGGUUUAUCAAUAUCUUGUAAAUUUAAAAUUGCAAGUUUCUCACCCAUGGUUGGCUCAUUCAUAUCAUCUUCCAAGAGGACUCCAUCCAUAGCCUCACCAUUAUCAGUAUCAACAUCUCCUCCCCUAUCAGAUGCAGCCCGUUUCUUCUUUGUUUUUUUAUUUAGGGAUGAGGCAGAUUCUGAUUCUAAAUCAUGAACCUCUUUCCUAGGCAAAAUCCCAUUUUCU
rnacentral:misc_RNA from 1 species